UACAGAGGGGGCAAGCGUUGUUCGGAAUUACUGGGCGUAAAGGGCGCGUAGGCGGCCUGCUAAGUCGAACGUGAAAUCCCCGAGCUCAACUCGGGAACUGCGUCCGAUACUGACAGGCUUGAAUCCGGGAGAGGGAUGCGGAAUUCCAGGUGUAGCGGUGAAAUGCGUAGAUAUCUGGAGGAACACCGGUGGCGAAGGCGGCUACCUGGACACCAACUGACGCUGAGACGCGAAAGCGUGGGGAGCAAACAGG
rnacentral:rRNA from 1 species